rnacentral:rRNA from 1 species
UACGGGGGGGGCAAGCGUUGUUCGGAAUUACUGGGCGUAAAGCGAGCGUAGUCGGUUAUUUAAGUCGGGUGUGAAAGCCCCGGGCUCAACCUGGGAAUUGCAUUCGAUACUGGAUAGCUAGAGUUCGGCAGAGGGAAGCGGAAUUUCCGGUGUAGCGGUGAAAUGCGUAGAUAUCGGGAGGAACACCAAUGGCGAAGGCAGCUCGCUGGGACGGUACUGACGCUGAGACGCGAAAGCGUGGGGAGCAAACAGGG